GACGAACGCUGGCGGCGUGCCUAAUACAUGCAAGUAGAACGCACAGUUUAUACCGUAGCUUGCUACACCAUAGACUGUGAGUUGCGAACGGGUGAGUAACGCGUAGGUAACCUGCCUGGUAGCGGGGGAUAACUAUUGGAAACGAUAGCUAAUACCGCAUAAUAUUAAUUAUUGCAUGAUAAUUAAUUGAAAGGUGCAAUUGCACCACUACCAGAUGGACCUGCGUUGUAUUAGCUAGUAGGUGAGGUAACGGCUCACCUAGGGGGCGAUACAUAGCCGACCUUGAGAGGUGAACGGCCACACUGGGACUGGGACCACGCCCAGACCCCUACGGGGGGCAGCAGGAGGGAAUCUUCGGCAAUGGAGGAAAGUCUGACCGAGCAACGCCGGGGGGGUGAAGAAGGUUUUCGGAUCGUAAAGCUCUGUUUUAAGAGAAGAACGGGUGUGAGAGUGAAACGUUCCCGUUGUGACGGUAUCUAACCAGAAAGGGCCGGCUAACUACGUG
rnacentral:rRNA from 1 species